CCUACGGGUGGCAGCAGUAGGGAAUUUUCCACAAUGGGCGCAAGCCUGAACGAGCGAUGCCGCGUGAGUGAAGAAGGCCUUCGGGUCGUAAAGCCCUGUUGCUGGGGAAGAAAGGCCGCAUCAGUAACUGUGUGCUUACUGAUGGUGCCUCACCAGACAGUCCCGGCUAACUACGUGCCAGCAGCCGCGGUAAUACGUAGGUGGCGAGCGUUAUCCGGAAUGAUUGGGCGUAAAGGGUGCGCAGGCGGUCCUGCAAGUCUGGAGUGAAACGCAUGGGCUCAACUCAUGCAGGGCUUUGGAAACUGGAGGACUGGAGAGCAGGAGAGGGCGGUGGAACCCCAUGUGUAGCGGUAAAAUGCGUAGAUAUAUGGAAGAACACCAGUGGCGAAGGCGGCUGGCUGGCCUGUAGCUGACGCUGAGGCACGAAAGCGUGGGGAGCAAAUAGGAUUAGAUACCCGAGUAGUC
rnacentral:rRNA from 1 species